CCUACGGGAGGCUGCAGUGAGGAAUAUUGGUCAAUGGCCGGGAGGCUGAACCAGCCAAGUCGCGUGAGGGAAGACGGCCCUACGGGUUGUAAACCUCUUUUGUCAGGGAGCAAGGUGCAGGUCGGGACCGGCUGUGAGAGGACCUGAAGAAAAAGCAUCGGCUACCUCCGUGCCAGCAGCCGCGUUAAUACGUCGGUGGCAAGCGUUAUCCGGAUUGAUUGGGCGUAACGGGAACGCCGGCGGUCUUUUAAGUCUGAUGUGAAAGCCUGCGGCUUAACCGGAGUAGUGCAUUGGAAACUGGGAGACUUGCGUGCAGCAGAGUGUAGUGGAACUCCAUGUGUAGCGGUGAAAUGCGUAGCUAUAUGGAAGAACACCAGUGGCGAACGCGGCUCUCUGGUCUGUAACUGACGCUGCGGUUCGACAGCGUGGGUAGCAAACAGGAUUAGAUACCCCUGUAGUC
rnacentral:rRNA from 1 species